CAUGACAAUGGCUCAUAAUCUCGUCAGAUUCACCAUCUCAACUCUGUGGCUACAAGUUCACUGCCAGUAUGUGACUCAACACCCUGCGAUCAGCUGGAGUUAUGUGUCCACAUCUGCGGAGAUGAACUGCAGCCACAACAGAGAUGCCGGUCAUAACCAGAUGGACUGGUACAAGCAGCGUCCAGGGGAGAGCAUGACCAUUGUUGUCUAUACAACUUCUGGAGGGAAGCCAGUCAAUCAAACCAAAUAUUCAGCCAUCAAAGACAACAUCGAGAGCGGGGCUCUUACUGUGAAAAACCUGCAGCCCGAGGACAGUGCCGUGUAUUUCUGUGCUGUGUUUAACUUGUGGUGGUAUUAUCAGUCUCCGCCUGAUUUCUUCAAGACGACCGUUACGAGGCUCAUCGGAUAUAAAGACUUCAAAACUGUCAUCAUGCAAAAGCCAUAUGAUGAGGACUUUACAAUCACUAGAGACUUCAGCCGCUAUACAGGGACAAAUAGCUCUCUCAUACGCAAAUAUGUGUUUGACUGGGUUUAG